rnacentral:tRNA from 1 species
GGCCCUGUGGCUCAGUUGGUAGAGCAUGGUGUUUGCAACGACAGCAUCGAAUUGAACCCAGGGUUGUGGGUUCGAUUCCCAUCGGGGGCC